rnacentral:rRNA from 1 species
UACGUAGGGUGCAAGCCGUUGUCCGGAAUUAUUGGGCGUAAAGAGCUCGUAGGCGGUUUGUUGCGUCGGCUGUGAAAUCCCGAGGCUCAACCUCGGGUCUGCAGUCGAUACGAGCAAACUAGAGUGUUGCAGGGAGACUGGAAUUCCUGGUGAUAGCGGUGGAAUGCGACAGAUAGUCAGGAGGAACACCGGUGGCGAAGGCGGGUCUCUGGGCAGUGAACUG